rnacentral:lncRNA from 1 species
CGUGACUAGCGGCUGAGUAAGCGCGUACAUUAAAAUCCUUGCGGCGAGGCAAUGCAUAGCAAUGCGCCCGAAACGUUCGAGAGAAGCAGAUUCUGUCGCCACGCUUCUGAAAAAAAAAAACGGAUCUUCGAACGCCUCGCCCACCGGGACGCUUUUGACUCCUAGCCUCGACAUCCCUCAAGCUAAAGGCAGACGGAAGCUGCACCAUCACACCCUUCAAAAUCGCAUCGACGCCGCGCAUAGUGGAUAAAAACCAAGGUUUCGGACGCCAUUGAAAAGAGUCAGGGUUCACUUCAGCCAUAGGCCAACGCCUCCGCUGAACAUCAAGUUUCCAUAAGCGCCUUUGGGGUUCCAGUUAACAAUGGCGUACCUGGACGUCCUGUGCGCGCAUCUUUCGAGGAUACCGGCAGACCAACUGCAAUACCUGGACAACGAGGUCUCGCUCGACCUUCCGAAGCUCGGCGAAAAAUCGGUACCAGAGGCCGUCAGCGCCGUCCGCGCCCAUAUACAAUCCAUCGGCGAGCUGCAGGCGCGUCUCAAUUACGCAGCCCACUUGUACAGCUGCCUGGCCGUGCUGGGCAUAUUACGGCCCUGGGUGCUCUACCGCGUCGACAAGAGGGAGAGCCACGGCGAUGUCGUCGGCGAUAUCCUGAAAAAGAUUCGCCACAGACGUGUCGUAGGCUUGUUCACGAAGGUGACGAAAAACAUAUGCUGCAGCUGCAUGCUCGCCCCUGACGAAGAGAGGGGAAGAGACUACAAGCCUUACUUCUUCGUCAUCUGGCAUACGCAGCCUUGCGUAGCGAUAUACGAAGCGCCCGAGGGACAUUCGAUGUUACUCGCAAACGCCCUCCGACAGACGUUGGGCCCACAGCCAGAGUCCCUGCGUUGCGGUGUUUACCAAGACCUUAGCUCGGCGCAUUUUGGUGCCCUCCAGUUCUUCUCGUGAUGCUGCUGUGAGCUCCCACGCAUGACGUCCAUGGACAAGGCCGCCACGUUUAUUUGCAUUUUGGCCGACGAUCUUAUUCCCAUCAAGACGACGUCAGUCGACGGAUCAACAUUUUACAUGAACUCGUACGCUAAAACCGCUUCACCAGGUACAGAUACCAGUCAUCCCAUUAGACAUUGAAGCCAAGAAAAGUCUUGAUAACAACGCUGUUCAAGCUACUGUGAAAGAAGCGAAAGAAGUGUUGUCAGUAUGUGUGCUGAAGUUUUCAUUUAUUCGAUGGUUGAUCUUUAAUCCAAAUUUCCAGUUUGCGUUUAGCUUCAUACGUCUCUACCUUAAACAUCCUGCUGCCCGGUUCUUGGCCCAUCCCCCUUUGUGAGUGAGCGCCGCCAGGAGGACGACAUCAUCGUUAUCCUGAGACCACUGUUCACCAACUGUAUUCACCUGCUUAGUUGAACGCCUGCUCUUCGCUUUGUGACGAGGCCUCGACAGAGCGGCCGAAAGCGGACCACGUACGUUCCAUCACCACUGUGACGCAGGCGACCAGAAUGGGGCUUCUGGAGUUAGUAUCUAAUGAAACAUGUAAUGUCCCACGCAAGACGACAGAUCCUCGUAUCGAUCACUCGAAUAAAGGAACUUGAUGCGCU